UCUCCGUUGGUGAACCAGCGGAGGGAUCAUUACAGAGUUGCAAAACUCCCAAACCAUUGCGAACAUUACCUAUCCCGUUGCUUCGGCGGGCGGCCCGGGCCCCGCGCCCGGCGCCCCCCGGCCCCCCGUGGGCGCCCGCCGGAGGUAAACCAAACCCUUGAAUUGCAUGGCCUCUCUGAGUCUUCUGUACUGAAUAAGUCAAAACUUUCAACAACGGAUCUCUUGGUUCUG
rnacentral:misc_RNA from 1 species